AACGCUAGCUACAGGCUUAACACAUGCAAGUCGAGGGGAAACGAUAUUGGAAGCUUGCUUCCGAUAGGCGUCGACCGGCGCACGGGUGAGUAACGCGUAUCCAACCUGCCCAUCACUUGGGAAUAACCUUGCGAAAGUAAGACUAAUGCCCAAUGACAUUUAUAGAAGGCAUCUGAAAUGAAUUAAAGAUUUAUCGGUGAUGGAUGGGGAUGCGUCUGAUUAGCUUGUUGGCGAGGUAACGGCCCACCAAGGCUACGAUCAGUAGGGGUUCUGAGAGGAAGGUCCCCCACAUUGGAACUGAGACACGGUCCAAACUCCUACGGGAGGCAGCAGUGAGGAAUAUUGGUCAAUGGGCGGAAGCCUGAACCAGCCAAGUAGCGUGCAGGAUGACGGCCCUAUGGGUUGUAAACUGCUUUUAUACAGGAAUAAAGUUAGCCACGUGUGGUUAUUUGUAGGUACUGUAUGAAUAAGGACCGGCUAAUUCCGUGCCAGCAGCCGCGGUAAUACGGAAGGUCCAGGCGUUAUCCGGAUUUAUUGGGUUUAAAGGGAGCGUAGGCCGUCUGUUAAGCGUGUUGUGAAAUGUAGAUGCUCAACAUCUGAAUUGCAGCGCGAACUGGCAGACUUGAGUGUGCGCAACGUAGGCGGAAUUCGUGGUGUAGCGGUGAAAUGCUUAGAUAUCACGAAGAACUCCGAUUG
rnacentral:rRNA from 1 species